rnacentral:rRNA from 1 species
AGUGAACGCUGGCGGUAGGCCUAACACAUGCAAGUCGAACGGCAGCACAGUAAGAGCUUGCUCUUACGGGUGGCGAGUGGCGGACGGGUGAGGAAUACAUCGGAAUCUACUUUUUCGUGGGGGAUAACGUAGGGAAACUUACGCUAAUACCGCAUACGACCUACGGGUGAAAGCAGGGGAUCUUCGGACCUUGCGCGAUUGAAUGAGCCGAUGUCGGAUUAGCUAGUUGGCGGGGUAAAGGCCCACCAAGGCGGCGAUCCGUAGCUGGUCUGAGAGGAGGGUAGGCCACACUGGAACUGAGACACGGUCCAGACUCCUACGGGAGGCAGCAGAGGGGAAUAUUGGACAAUGGGCGCAAGCCUGAUCCAGCCAUACCGCGUGGGUGAAGAAGGCCUUCGGGUUGUAAAGCCCUUUUGUUGGGAAAGAAAAGCAGCAGGUUAAUACCCCGCUGUUCUGACGGUACCCAAAGAAUAAGCACCGGCUAACUUCGUG